rnacentral:rRNA from 1 species
UACGUAGGUGACAAGCGUUGUCCGGAUUUACUGGGCGUAAAGAGCGCGCAGGCGGUCGUUCAAGUCGAGUGUGAAAGCCCCCGGCUCAACUGGGGAGGGUCAUUCGAUACUGAUCGACUCGAAGGCAGGAGAGGGUAGUGGAAUUCCCGGUGUAGCGGUGAAAUGCGCAGAUAUCGGGAGGAACACCUAUGGCGAAGGCAGCUCGCUGGGACGUUACUGACGCUGAGACGCGAAAGCGUGGGGAGCAAACAGG